rnacentral:rRNA from 1 species
GACGAACCGUGCGAACGUUAUUCGGAAUCACUGGGCUUAAAGCGCGUGUAGGCGGGACGGCACGUCGGUCGCUGAAAUCCCCCGGCUUAACCGGGGAACUGGCGUCGAUACGACCGUCCUGGAGGGGCGUAGGGGGACCUGGAACUUCCGGUGGAGCGGUGAAAUGCGUUGAGAUCGGAAGGAACGCCCGUGGCGAAAGCGAGGUCCUGGACGGCUACUGACGCUGAGACGCGAAAGCCAGGGGAGCGAACGGG